ACACAUGCAGUCGAGCGAGGACUUCGGUUCUAGCGGCGGACGGGUGAGUAACGCGUGGGAAUGUGCCCUUCUCUACGGAAUAGCCCUGGGAAACUGGGAGUAAUACCGUAUACGCCCUAUUGGGGAAAGAUUUAUCGGAGAAGGAUCAGCCCGCGUUGGAUUAGGUAGUUGGUGGGGUAAUGGCCUACCAAGCCGACGAUCCAUAGCUGGUUUGAGAGGAUGAUCAGCCACACUGGGACUGAGACACGGCCCAGACUCCUACGGGCAGGCCGCCCUGCGGAAUCUUAGACGAUGGGGGCUACCCUGAUCCAGC
rnacentral:rRNA from 1 species